UCACGUCUUGGCGUAGUCCGUCGCGCUCUCCUCCCUUUCGCCGCCAGCGCCGGCGCGCUCGAGCAAAUCGCCGCCCGCCCGCCCGCCACGCUGUCUUCCUCGACCUUCCCUCCCGCGUCGUCGGCAGUCUCGUACUCCGUCGUCGUCCUCGAGUCCCCCACGCCACCACCCGCGCGCCGCGCCCUCAAUCCAGGCGUGCGUCGUUGUCCUCCGUCGCGCAUCCUUAUUAUCUUCUCGCCCGUGCUCUUUCUUCCCGCCAGAAUCGUUGCCCUGAGAGGAAUUGAUGGCGAAAAGGCAUUCUCCAUGUCGCCUGCCGUUUAUCGUUUAUUGGAAAGCCCGUUUCUUCGAUCCCUUCUCAAAUCACAUGAAUCAGCCUUUCGCAAAUGUCACAAGAUCAAACUAUUCAAUUGACUGGAACCUGGAGAGGCUGUAUGGCACAGCCAGCGUGGGAAGAAUUCUCUCUUCGCAUUUUUAGACGAUUUUUUGUAACCAUAAUGAUGAUGAGAAACAGUGUUAAUUUUGUUUUAGUUGCCAACAAUGAUGUAACUGAUUGCGUAGGGAGAGAAAGAAAUAUAAUCUCUCUCACAAUCUCUGACCAUGUCUAUUUCAUCAGGAAAUAGAAUGUGAUUCUGGUGUUCUUAUUUUCCUAGUGUGCAAUUUGUUCUGGAGUGCAAUUUGUGGGAUCCUGAGGUUGGAUU